rnacentral:rRNA from 1 species
GACGAACGCUGGCGGCGUGCUUAACACAUGCAAGUCGAACGGAAAGGCCCCCUUGUGGGGUACUCGAGUGGCGAACGGGUGAGUAACACGUGAGUAACCUACCCUUGACUUUGGGAUAACUUCAGGAAACUGGGGCUAAUACCGGAUAGGAGCUCCUGCUGCAUGGUGGGGGUUGGAAAGUUUCGGCGGUUGGGGAUGGACUCGCGGCUUAUCAGCUUGUUGGUGGGGUAGUGGCUCACCAAGGCUUUGACGGGUAGCCGGCCUGAGAGGGUGACCGGCCACAUUGGGACUGAGAUACGGCCCAGACUCCUACGGGAGGCAGCAGUGGGGAAUAUUGCACAAUGGGUGGAAGCCUGAUGCAGCAACGCCGCGUGCGGGAUGACGGCCUUCGGGUUGUAAACCGCUUUCGCCUGUGACGAAGCGUGAGUGACGGUAAUGGGUAAAGAAGCACCGGCUAACUACGUG